GAUGAACGCUGGCGGCGUGCCUAAUACAUGCAAGUCGAGCGAACAGACGAGGAGCUUGCUCCUCUGACGUUAGCGGCGGACGGGUGAGUAACACGUGGAUAACCUACCUAUAAGACUGGGAUAACUUCGGGAAACCGGAGCUAAUACCGGAUAACAUGUUGAACCGCAUGGUUCAACAGUGAAGGACGGUCUUGCUGUCACUUAUAGAUGGAUCCGCGCCGCAUUAGCUAGUUGGUAAGGUAACGGCUUACCAAGGCAACGAUGCGUAGCCGACCUGAGAGGGUGAUCGGCCACACUGGAACUGAGACACGGUCCAGACUCCUACGGGAGGCAGCAGUAGGGAAUCUUCCGCAAAGGGCGAAAUCCUGACGGAGCAACGCCGCGUGAGUGAAGAAGGUCUUCGGAUCGUAAAACUCUGUUAUUAGGGAAGAACAAAUGUGUAAGUAACUAUGCACGUCUUGACGGUACCUAAUCAGAAAGCCACGGCUAACUACGUG
rnacentral:rRNA from 1 species